CCUACGGGAGGCAGCAGUAGGGAAUCUUCGUCAAUGGGCGCAAGCCUGAACGAGCAAUGCCGCGUGAACGAGGAAGGUCUUCGGAUCGUAAAGUUCUGUUGAAGGGGAAAAAGAGCGGAGAGAGGAAAUGAACUCCGAUUGAUAUUACCCUUCGAGGAAGUCACGGCUAACUACGUGCCAGCAGCCGCGGUAAUACGUAGGUGGCGUGGGUUAUCCGGAUUGGUUGGGCGAAAAGGGUGCGUAGGCGGCCUGCUAAGUCUGGAGUGAAAGGUACCGGCCAAACCGGUACAGGCUCUGGAAACUGGCGGGCUAGAGAGCAGGAGAGGGCGGUGGAACUCGAUGUGUAGCGGUAAAAUGCGUAGAUAUAUGGAAGAACACCAGUGGCGAAGGCGGCCGCCUGGCCUGUUGACUGACGCUGAGGCACGAAAGCGUGGGGAGCAAAUAGGAUUAGAUACCCGGGUAUC
rnacentral:rRNA from 1 species